rnacentral:rRNA from 1 species
ACGAACGCUGGCGGCGUGCUUAACACAUGCAAGUCGAACGGAAAGGCCCUGCUUUUGUGGGGUGCUCGAGUGGCGAACGGGUGAGUAACACGUGAGUAACCUGCCCUUGACUUUGGGUUAACUUCAGGAAACUGGGGCUAAUACCGGAUAGGAGCUCCUGCUGCAUGGUGGGGGUUGGAAAGUUACGGCGGUUGGGGAUGGACUCGCGGCUUAUCAGCUUGUUGGUGGGGUAGUGGCUUACCAAGGCUUUGACGGGUAGCCGGCCUGAGAGGGUGACCGGCCACAUUGGGACUGAGAUACGGCCCAGACUCCUACGGGAGGCAGCAGUGGGGAAUAUUGCACAAUGGGCGGAAGCCUGAUGCAGCAACGCCGCGUGCGGGAUGACGGCCUUCGGGUUGUAAACCGCUUUCGCCUGUGACGAAGCGUGAGUGACGGUAAUGGGUAAAGAAGCACCGGCUAACUACGUG